AUCUUACACGCCCAGCUUCGUCCUUUUCACCGUAGAGACGGCUAGGAGACGAGGAAGGAAGAGAAGAAAUCCUUCCCAAACAAACAGAUGAGAAAACUGACCUGUAUUUAGUGAGAUCGCCAUUUGCCCAAGGUCUGGAAAGUGGUGGAGCCAGGUUUUGAAUGCAGGCUGAUGAAUCCACCAGCAAAGGGGAUAUCUGAUUGCUCAACGCCAGGAGUGGAGACGCGGAGGAAACCCGGGAACUUGGUCGGCCCAAGCUGCGCAUGCUCCCAGGGCGGCCUUGGAGGCCACGUGUUGCAAGCGCACCAGGUAUUUGCAAAGUCAAAGUCCCUGAUCGUAGCCUUGGUCCAAAGGAACUCGGUGUUUUUCACUGUCAUUGAAGUUGAUUUGUUUUAUAUUUACCCUCUGGGGUCAGGGAAGUCUGGAUCUAACGUCAACCCCUCUGCUCUUCCCUGAAGCAUUUCUAGUCCCUUCUCCGCAGUGUAAAUGGUCCACAGUUCCUCCAUUCUCCUCUCACCCUUAUUUUGCUCCUGUCAUUGGGCCAACUCGGAGAAAACCUUCACUAAGCAUAUGAAAUUCUUGAUCACUGGGUCUGCACCUAAGCGGAGUCAGUCAAUUUCUUUUACUUUUAUGACCCUCGAUAUUGCUGUCAUUAUUUUGGUAACAUCACGCGCUGGUAGCACCUAGCAUUAUUUUCUUGUAAAGAAUUUCUUUGUCUCAAAUCUGCUAAGCUAAAUGAAUGUUUGGCACCCAUCUCAACGAAAUAUUUUUUUUGAAACAAUAAGUGCAUUUGUCAAAUAAGAGAGAGCAGAGAAGGGGACUCUUGAAGGAGUGAGAAGCAUUUUAACUUAUUAAAAUGGAAAUUCUGGCCCCAGGGUUAAAAAAAAUAUUACACAUGGUAUGAAUUCAUUCUCUGCAUAAAAUAUUUUAAACAAUACAGAAGAAUAUUGAGUAAAAUGUUCAGAGGUCCCUUUUCAGUCCCCACUCGUGCCUCCUUUUCUCCUCCCUGAUGAUCUAAGGAUGUCAACAGUUUGGUAUAUAUCUUUGAGCUCCUAUUUCUGUGAUAAGUUUUUUUUCCCACGGAUUGCUUACAUUUGGCCAUGAUAAACAACACUGCUAUGGACGUAUUCGCAAAUGUGCAAGUAGUUUGGCAAGAUUCCUAGAGGUGAGAAUGCUGGGUCAAAAGAUGGGUAUAUUUUACAUUUUGAUAGAGAAGUACCAAUUUGCUUUCCAGAAAGACUGUCCUCAUUUAAACACCCAACAGGAUUGCAUGGAAGUAAUCAUUUCCCUGCAUCUUCACCAAUGUUGGAUGUUAUUAAUUUUGACAAUUUUUGCCCCUUAGGCAAAGAAGGAUAGCUCAUUAUUAUUUUUUUAAAUAUAUGAAAUAUUAUAUGUUUAUAAAUACAAAUAUUUAUAUGAAAUAAAUUAAUAUACAGUAAAGUUUACCCAUUUUAAGAUACAGUUUGAUGAAUCUGACAUGUAUCCAUCACUGUAAUCAAGAAAUAGAACAUUUCUAUCACCCAAAUGUUCCCUGAUGCCCCUUUGUAAUCAAUUGCCUUCUUCUGCUUCCAGCCCCUGGAAACCACUGAUCUGUUUUCUGUUCAUUUAGAUUUAUCUUUUCCAAGAUGUCA